rnacentral:lncRNA from 1 species
GUCAGAGUAACAGAUCCGGACUGCUCUCUCAGGACUCAAUUUAGAGACGGGCGAGUGAUCCUAACAGGAAUUUCUGAAUCAAGGAGGACAGACAUCUGGCCUGCUUUGUUGAGAGCCAAAGAAAAAAAUCAGGAUUGCAUCCUCAGAGAAAUACUGUCCGUGGAUCACCUCUUCUGUCUGCGGCAGUGAAUAAGGCACCAUGCUGGGACUGAGGGAGCAGACGGCACUCUCAGUUCUCUGUCUGUCUCUGCUGGCUCGCUUCUGGACUGUAAACGGACUGACAGAACACAGCAACUCAGAGAUCAGCCACACAGCCUCAGACCAACAUGUGGAGGACAGAAGAGCAGAUCUUCCGCAGGUGAAGAUAAUCCCACCCUAUGCAAAGAUUCAAGUUGGACAAUACAAACUAUUGAUGUGCAAAGGUGAGAAGACAGUUUAACCUUAAAAUAAUAGUUCUGUUAUCAUUUACUC